rnacentral:tRNA from 1 species
GCCUGUGUGCUCAGUGGUUAGAGCAUUGGCCUGCACACUAAAGGGUCGCAGGUUCAAUUCCUGGUUAAGGGCA